UGCAUUUCCUAUCCCGCAGCUCUAGCGCGGCCAGGCACAGCGGACACCAGGACUCCAAGAUGGCGUCAGUCGUACCAGUGAAGGACAAGAAACUUCUAGAGGUCAAACUGGGGGAGCUGCCAAGCUGGAUCUUGAUGCGGGACUUCAGCCCUAGUGGCAUUCUCGGAGCAUUUCAAAGAGGUUACUACCGGUACUACAACAAGUACAUUAACGUGAGGAAAUGGAGCAUCUCGGGGAUUACCAUGGUGCUGGCAUGCUACGUGCUCUUCAACUACUGCAUUUCCUACAAGCAUCUCAAGCACGAGCGGCACCGCAAAUACCACUGAAGAGGACACGCUCUGCACCACCCCCCAACCCCAUGACCUUGGCCUGAGCCCCUCCGUGAGGAACACAAUCUCGAUCGUUGCUGAAUCCUUUCAUGUCCUAAUGGGAAUUAACCUCCAAAUAAAAGAUGACUGGU